rnacentral:rRNA from 1 species
AUGGCUGUUUUUGGAAAAUCCCGUAUCCCGUAUCCCCGUAUCCGUAUCCCCGUCUUUCCGUCCCCGUGUCCGUGCUUUUUAGGUCCUAGCUAUGCGGAGCUUUUGGAACAAGUGAGGAACGAUUUGAAUUGGAUGGACCCAAGUGACGUUGUUGAGUUAGAGGGAAGGCAUAAUGUUGGUUUUGGAAUGCACAUCCGUUGGAAGACAAUGCGUGUGAACUCCGAGCAACGUUGGGUUGCAUACAAGGAGAUGGUUGCCGAAUCUCUAGACAAGGCUCUUGAGUUAUUUGCCUCCAAGAAGGUUGAGUCUACUUUGAAUUUAGACUUGAACCGGAACCCCUCCCCGUUGGUUGCUAGCACUCCCCCACCCACGAACCAAGAUCAAAUGAGUGAACCUCAUUUCAUGCAACAAGAUUGGCCAACAUUGAGCCCGACUCCAAACAACCAAAAUGAAGGUUUUGAAGAGGAGAAUGAUGAGUACGAAGAGGAUGACAACGAAGUUGAUCUCCAUGACAACAAUGUGGGUGAUCUCUACAAAUAUCAUGUGCAAGAGACAAUGGACCAAUCCAUCCCUUUUUCCCGUGCAUAUGCAUCGGACUCGGAUGACGAUGGUCCCGAUGAAGAAGUUGAUGAGGAGGGGUUCAUGCCCAAGGAGGCCCAAGCAUUCAAGAAGGUAUUCGGGCGGGAUCACAAGACACCAUUGUUCAAGGAUCUUAGUCUCACGGAUGAAGCCGUUGUGGAUGGUGGCAAAUGCAUAUCUCUUGGAGCUAGGCCAAGUUCUCACCGUGAUUUGGAAGACGGCAAGAACGGGAUAUAUCCCGGUUGUGAGUUUCAAUCCUUCUUGGAAUUGAAGAUAUGGCUCGAUAACUACUCGGUUACACAUUAUCGUCCACAUAAGUGUCCAACUCAGACGUGA